rnacentral:rRNA from 1 species
UACGGAGGGGGCUAGCGUUGUUCGGAAUUACUGGGCGUAAAGCGCACGUAGGCGGAUCAGUCAGUCAGGGGUGAAAUCCCGGGGCUCAACCCCGGAACUGCCUUUGAUACUGCUGGUCUGGAGGUGGAGAGGGGUGAGUGGAAUUCCGAGUGUAGAGGUGAAAUGCGUAGAUAUUAGGAGGAACACCAGUGGCGAAGGCGGCUUUCUGGACUACAACUGACGCUGAGGCGCGAAAGCGUGGGUAGCAAACAGG